AACAAACGCUGGCGGCGUGUCUUAAGCAUGCAAGUUGAGCGGCAAGGAGGAGAGAUCCUCCCUAGAGCAGCGGACUGGUGAGUAACGCGUGGGUAAUCUAUCUUAGGCAUGGGGAUAGUCACUAGAAGUAGUGGGUAAUACCGAAUAAGUUCCAUAAGGGGAGGACUUAUGGAAGAAAGGUGCUACGGCACUGGCCUUAGGUGAGCUCGCGUCCCAUUAGCUAGUUGGUGAGGUAAAGGCCCACCAAGGCGAUGAUGGGUAGCCGGCCUGAGAGGGUGUACGGCCACACUGGGACUGAGAUACGGCCCAGACUCCUACGGGAGGCAGCAGCUAAGAAUAUUCCGCAAUGGACGGAAGUCUGACGGAGCGACGCCGCGUGGAUGAAGAAGGCCGAAAGGUUGUAAAGUUCUUUUGCUAGGGGAGAAUAAGUGUGGGAGGGAAUGCCUGCACGAUGACAAGGACUAGCGAAUAAGUCCCGGCCAACUACGUG
rnacentral:rRNA from 1 species